rnacentral:misc_RNA from 1 species
GAUGAAGAACGUAGCGAAAUGCGAUAAGUAAUGUGAAUUGCAGAAUUCAGUGAAUCAUCGAAUCUUUGAACGCACAUUGCGCCCCCUGGUAUUCCGGGGGGCAUGCCUGUUCGAGCGUCAUUUCACCACUCAAGCCUCGCUUGGUAUUGGGCAACGCGGUCCGCCGCGUGCCUCAAAUCGACCGGCUGGGUCUUCUGUCCCCUAAGCGUUGUGGAAACUAUUCGCUAAAGGGUGUUCGGGAGGCUACGCCGUAAAACAACCCCAUUUCUAAGGUUGACCUCGGAUCAGGUAGGGAUACCCGCUGAACUUAAGCAUAUCAAUACGCGGAGGA